rnacentral:rRNA from 1 species
UACAGAGGCCCCUAGCGUUGUUCGGAUUUACUGGGCGUAAAGGGUGCGUAGGCGGUCAGGCGUGUCGAGUGUGAAAUCUCCGGGCUCAACCCGGAAAGUGCGCUCGAAACUACCUUAGACUAGAGUAUGGGAGAGGGGAUCGGAAUGCAGGGUGUAGCGGUGAAAUGCGUUGAUAUCCUGCAGAACACCGGAGGCGAAGGCGGAUCCCUGGAACAUUACUGACGCUCAGGCACGAAAGUCGGGGGAGCAA